rnacentral:rRNA from 1 species
GAUGAACGCUGGCGGCGUGCCUAACACAUGCAAGUCGAGCGAUUCUCUUCGGAGAAGAGCGGCGGACGGGUGAGUAACGCGUGGGUAACCUGCCCUGUACACACGGAUAACAUACCGAAAGGUAUGCUAAUACGAGAUAAUAUGCUUUUAUCGCAUGGUAGAAGUGUCAAAGCUCCAGCGGUACAGGAUGGACCCGCGUCUGAUUAGCUAGUUGGUAAGGUAACGGCUUACCAAGGCGACGAUCAGUAGCCGACCUGAGAGGGUGAUCGGCCACAUUGGAACUGAGACACGGUCCAAACUCCUACGGGAGGCAGCAGUGGGGAAUAUUGCACAAUGGGCGAAAGUCUGAUGCAGCAACGCCGCGUGAGCGAUGAAGGCCUUCGGGUCGUAAAGCUCUGUCCUCAAGGAAGAUAAUGACGGUACUUGAGGAGGAAGCCCCGGCUAACUACGUGCCAGCAGCCGCGGUAA